GAAAUCAAGUGUGACGACCCCCUGAAUUUAAGCAUAUA
rnacentral:rRNA from 2 species